AGUUAUUACAGCACUAAAAGGAUACUUAAGCAAUAAGAGUUUUAUAUGGACGUUUUCUGACGAAAUGUUGCGUGGAGUAUACUAGUACUGAGAAAUGCAAUUUUCCAUAAAUUCGACAAAUCGAUCUUCAACUGAUAGAAGAAUUGUUUAAAAAGUUUUAAACAAAAAAUUUGGUGAAUUGAAUCAUCUAAGUAGCCAAAACUUAAAAUCAACCGAGACGUUGUCAGUAGUGGCGAGCGAACGCAAUCAAGACUAAAAAACUUAAAUAUUUUAUUUAAUAAUUAAUAGCCAUAGAAGGUAGCCUAUGGAUAGGAUAGCCCUGUAAAAUAAAAUUUUAGUUUUUGUUUAGUAAAAUAGAUCAAGUCAUGAUCCAUUUGAAUACUGAGGGCCCACCCUCAAAGUCUAGGAAUCUUAUUGACUGAUAGUGGAAAGUACCGUAAGGGAACAGUGAAAAAGACUUUGCGAAAGUGAAAAGACUUUGAAAUUUAGUGCUAACAAUCUGUCGUAGUUUUUAAAAUGAUGACGUACCUUUUGCAUAAGUGCGACACGAAGUGUCGUCUUUCAUUUCCGUGAGAUCCGGACAACAAGUUUAUUUUAGUGGCGAGCUUAAAUAGUUAGAGUAUGGAGGCACAAAGAAAUUAAGUUUUAAAUUGCUGUUUAGUCGCUAAAAUAAGACCCGAAACUAAGUGAUCUAAUCAUGAACAGGUUGAAGUUUAGGCGGAAACGCCUUUCGGAGGACCGAACCCGUGUGUGUGGAAAAAUACUGGGAUGAUUUGUGAUUAGGGGUGAAAGGCUAAUCAAACUUAGAGAUAGCUGGUUUUCUGCGAAAUCUAUUGAAGUAGAGCGUUUAAAGAACUUUGUUAAGGGUAGAGCUCUCGAUAAACAAUGGGGGUUUAACGCUUUACUGAGUUUAUUGAAACUUCGAAUAUUAAUUUAAUGACUUUAAACAGACAGACUAUGAGUGCUAAGAUUCAUGGUCAAGAGGGAAACAGCCCAGACUAUUAACUAAGGCUCCUAAAAAUAAUUAAGUGAUAAAAUUGUGAAAAAAUGUGAACAAUCGAAAGGUAAGCUUAGAAGCAGCUAUCCUUUAAAGAAAGCGUAACAGCUCAUUGGUUUAGUUUUUUUGCAUUGAAAAUGUAUGGAACUAAAAUUGUUUGCCGAAGUUGUAGAUUUAUAGAUUAAAUGGUAGCAGAACGUUCUGUAGAUUUAAGAAGUUUUAUAGUGAUAUAAAAUGGAGAUAUCAGAAAUGAAAAUGUUGGUAUGAGUAACGACAAACAAUGUGUGAAACAUUGUCGCCUUAAGUUCAAGGUUUCCAAAACAAGGCUAAUCCGUUUUGGUAUUUUCAUUGUUAAUCGGUCUCUAAGGAUAAAAACGAAAGUUUUAGUCUAAUGAGGCAAAAAUAAUUUUUUAUUUUUUAAAAGUGACAGAAUGUAAAUAUGAUUUUUAUUUGAUGGUUAUAAUAAAAGUUGUAGAGCAUUUUCUAGAAAUAGCUUUUAAUAGUGUAACCGUACCCUAAACCGACACAGGUGAACAGGUUUAGUAAACUAAGGCGCUUGAGAUAAUUAUGUUGAAGGAAUUCGGCAAAAUGACUCCGUAACUUCGGAAUAAGGAGUGACUUAAGAAGGGUAACCUUUUUAAGUUGUCACAAAAUCGGGGACAGCGACUGUUUAUUAAAAAAUACUAUUAUCGCAUCCUGGAGCUGUAGGUGGUUCCAAGGGUUUGGCUGUUCGCCAAUGAAGGCGGUACAUGAUCUGAGUUUAGAACGUUGUGAAACAGUUUAAAAAAUUGAGAGGAGUAAACCUUAGUACGAGAGGACCGGGAAAAGUAAAUCCAUGGUGAAUCGAUUGUUAUACCAAUAGCAUAGUCGAGUAGCUACAUUUAUAAUAAAUAAUCACUGAAAGCAUCUAAGUGAGAAAUUAGCCUCAAAACAAAUUUUUUAAAAAUGUAAAAGAGUAUUACGUAGAUAGGCUUGGUGUGUAAGAAUUGUAAGAUUUUGAGCUAACAAGUACUAAAUU